UUAAGUUCAGCGGGUAAUCCUGACUGAUUUGAGGUCUAAAGCUUAAGUUGCUAUAAUAGCGAAUUAGAAGCACCUCUUAUAUUUGAAGAAGACGUCCUUAGCGAAAUAAUUAUUACGCCAAGUCAAACCGUCUAUUUCAAUAGGGUUGCUCGUGUAUUUCAGUUGAGCCGGCCAUUACGCCGACAGACAACCAUAAUCCA
rnacentral:misc_RNA from 1 species